GGAGCUUCAUUUUUAUGCCAAAUAAUAUCUGGCAGCAUAAGUUGUCCUUUAUAUUGCCAUUCAAUUGCCUUGUCAUUGCUUACCACAGAUACAUUUUAGAAUAUGAAAAAUAAUGUAGGCUUUUGCCAUACACUCAAAAAAUGUGGGGUUCAGCAAGGUUUCUUCUAAGAUCCUCAGAGUUCUUUGAAGAACCUUAGGGUUCUUGGCACUGAAAAUGGCCCCCAAAAUGUUCUACCAAGAACCCCAUAGGAGGUGGGGUUCAUCGAGGAACCUCCUUAGUUGGUGGGGGUUCUUGCAGGAACCUAACUUCCCAACAGAAACAUUUGAAUGGACAACCGGUGCAGGCACUUAACUGGAGAUCUCUUCAAUGUAAGGCGAGGUUUGUCCCUUGUAUGAUCUAAAUUGAUAUCUUUCAUAUUUGUGCCAAUCUUUUAAAAACAGAAAAUGAUGGACACAAUUCAAUGGAUAUCAAUCAACAAAGAGGUGAGAAUAUGUAGGCUAUAAUAAUAUGUUGAAGGCUAGCUGUUUUGUGUGCAGAUGACUGAACUGCUCACUUUUGUGUCUGUGUCUGCAGGUAUGCAGACGAGGAGACAUACAGUAGAAAGGUAUGUCAAUUGGUAUUGAUAUGUUAUGCAGAUCACAUUUACCCUCGUCCUCCCUGACCUCGUCAAUGAACAUCCCAUAGGCCUCUACAUUAUGGACAAGGAAACCUGUUCAAUCGCCAUCCACUACAAAAUCAGUCUGGCUAUGGAAACAGAGAACAUCAACACAUUAACAUCAAGAGGCCAGAGGAUAUAACCAUUGGACUUGGGGCUCUGCUGGGAGUUUACCUCAUAUUUCCCACUAAAAUCGUAAUAAACACUGAGAACUACAAUGUUCUGUUUUUGUUAUGCAUAUUAUUAUUAUUAUAAAUAAUAGGGGUAGUUCAAAAAAGGUUAUUCAAAAGGUUCUUUGAGGAUCCAUUUAUGAAGAACUUAUAUGGGUUCCCCCCACAGUUUCAAUUUGAGGAACCCCUAAAGGAUACUCCAGGAACCUUUUCUUUUUUUAGAGUGUAUCACUGUUCGUAGAUUGAGGUCUGAUUUAUGAUGUUCUCAAUCAUGGGCUAACGAUGACAACCGAACAGAUACUUGAAAGUCAAAUUACGCCUACACAUUUGUUUUCUUCUCCAAAAUAAUUGAGCUAUCUAAUCAAUUAAUAAAUAGGCUACCAUUGAUGCUGAAGUUUCGUGGAAAUAUUCACCCGGGUUGAGAUAUUCACCCGGGUUGAAAUAUUCACCCGGGUUGAAAUAUUCACCCGGGUUGAAAUAUUCACCCGGGUUGCUGCGUUCAGGAAUCCAGGCAGUUCAUUACAACUGUUCAGAAUACAACCAUUCAGUCACCAGCAAACAAGCCUGACCCCAACGCCUGCAGGGUCAUCCGAAGAAGUCCUACACAAAAAGCUGAACAAAAC
rnacentral:lncRNA from 13 species